UUCGUCCCAGAAGUGAUGAGAUCCCAUGCGCCAUUUUUACGAUUUCCUAUAGCUCUUAUAUGGCGCGAACGAUCAUAAAUUGUAAUCUUAUCGUUAGCUUGGUGUUCGCCGGCGUGCAGAUUGUGGAUGUAGUCAAUAUUUAAACUUAUCAAACACUUAUGUAAAUUGUUAUUUAUAGUAGUGGGACGAACUUCUUCAGUCAUCAAGUUUUUGCCUUUUCAUUAAUCCCCUGAACCAGCUUAGAGCAAAGUUCAAGCCCAACCAGCGAUCAUUUGUUGGAACUUGAUAAAGCCGUGACGUUUUCAAGUUUUUAUACUUUGCUCUGUUCUCCAUUAUUAGCUUGGAAGCAUUCAGCACUUAGUAUAUCAAUCGGCUUUUGUUUAGCUCGAGUGGAGAACGGCCAAAGUCCGCCAGAGGAUUGAAUCAUAGUGUCGGUGCGGGGUUCGUUUGAUGGAGCAAUUAAUACGAUAAUAACUAAAUAAGCACUUAUCAACGAAGUUCCAAACUGAGGAAACGACAAGUGGGACAAAGCUAAGAAGAGUGUGAAACACGAAUUAGAAAGUUCUAACAAAGCUAUUAUUAAAAAUUCAUGGUGAUCCGGGUUGAACUAGGUCGAGGGUACUAAAAUAUAGGGUUUCAUGGAUAUUAAAAGAACCCUAAAAAAACCGAUCUUCCUAUAAAACCAAUAACCUUCCUCUGCCAAUGUGAAUUAACCACCAGGGUCCGAUGAACAGUGAACAAGGAAGCUAAUCGGUGAAGUAACUCUGAUUCACGAGCAAUCACAAAGAGCCUUAGUAAGUAAAGUCGCUGGUUGGUGGGCACAUUGUGAAUAUAUAGGCAUUGUAAACUGGCCCGAUAAUGUUGUUCGGGGCUAGAGCUCGCUAUUGUUUCGCCGUACGUUGCCGUUGGCACAAAACAGAACAAAACCGAAAUUAAGAAAGCGACGGCGGCGCGGGAAUGUUUAUUACGUAUUACGUAUACGACUAUUAUGGUGUGUCGAAGAAAUUCGAUAUGUGGACUUGUGACCCAAGCACGAUCCCCAACCCAUCCUCCUCCCCCCUCCGUUGUCAACCGGGGCAAUGGCAAUCGGGCCUAGAUCGUACUGCCAAAACUCAAUCAGCUGCCACAGGUGCGGCUGUGUGCGCGAACGGUUCUUAUCAGCGAAGGAAAACGACAAUAUAACAACGUCGAAACACUAAUAACCAAUGCGAAAUAUACGCCAGCAGCGAGAGCCGAGCGAUCUUUGAGAAAGUGUUGGGCGUUUAGCGAUUUCCGAGAGCAAAAUAAAGUGGAAAAAACGGAAACAUUGCUUUAAUUUAAUUUAACAAAUUUUAUUUUUAAAACCACAAUCCGCAAAUCUUGUCGGCCCAGAAAUAUAAAAAUACGAAAAUAUUUCAUUAUGGAUAACAGUAUACUAAGCCAAAUAAGUUAAAAUAUGUUCAAAAGUUACUGAAUGCUUCUCUUAAAAAGUUGAAUUGUUUAAGGAGUAGUCAACAUAGGUAUAUUUUAUAAAAAAAUCAUUAUUAGACUUCAAAAACUACAAUAUUUAUGUUCUUUAAGUUUAAAAAAAAAGCUUUAGCCACAAACUGUAAACGACAAAUAUUGUUAAUUUUAGAACCUAGCUUAAAGCUGUUAGAUCAAUUCGAAUAUAUGUUUGUAAAAUACAAACAUAAAUUUUAAACGUUAGUUAAUUUAUACAUAUAAGACUAGAUCCAUACAUUCAAAUUUUAGAAGAAUAGCCAUAGUAUAUAGGAAAUUGUUUAAGCAAACAGUGGUUUCCCGCUAAAGGUUAAAAACCUGGCCAUCUCUGAGCGCCUUCGAUAAAGCCUGCGCUUAACACACACCCACACACGCACACCCACACCCACUUGGGCGCCGAGAUACACAC